rnacentral:sRNA from 1 species
UGAUUUGCAAGGACAUGAGAAGGAGAUGAAGCA